GCCAGGCAUGGUGGCACAUGCCUGUAAUCCCAGCAGUUUGGGAGGCUGAGGCAGGAGGAUGGUGCGUUCAAAGCCAGCCUCAGCAAAAGCAAGGUGCUAAGCAACUCAGUGAGACCCUGUCUCUG
rnacentral:sRNA from 1 species